rnacentral:rRNA from 1 species
CAGUCGCCGCGGUAAUACGUAGGUCCCGAGCGUUGUCCGGAUUUAUUGGGCGUAAAGCGAGCGCAGGCGGUUAGAUAAGUCUGAAGUUAAAGGCUGUGGCUUAACCAUAGUACGCUUUGGAAACUGUUUAACUUGAGUGCAAGAGGGGAGAGUGGAAUUCCAUGUGUAGCGGUGAAAUGCGUAGAUAUAUGGAGGAACACCGGUGGCGAAAGCGGCUCUCUGGCUUGUAACUGACGCUGAGGCUCGAAAGCGUGGGGAGCAAACAGGAUUAGAUACCCCUGUAGUCCCUGUCUCUUAUACA